GACAGAGGGUGCAAACGUUGCUCGGAAUCACUGGGCGUAAAGGGCGCGUAGGCGGCGCGGUAAGUCGGGUGUGAAAUCUCGGGGCUUAACUCCGAAACUGCAUUCGAUACUGCCGUGCUUGAGGACUGGAGAGGAGACUGGAAUUUACGGUGUAGCGGUGAAAUGCGUAGAUAUCAGGAGGAACACCGGUGGCGAAGGCGGGUCUCUGGGCCGAUACUGACGCUGGAGGAGCGAAAGCGUGGGGAGCAAACAGG
rnacentral:rRNA from 1 species